rnacentral:rRNA from 1 species
GGUUAAGCGACUAAGCGUACACGGUGGAUGCCCUGGCAGUCAGAGGCGAUGAAGGACGUGCUAAUCUGCGAUAAGCGUCGGUAAGGUGAUAUGAACCGUUAUAACCGGCGAUUUCCGAAUGGGGAAACCCAGUGUGUUUCGACACACUAUCAUUAACUGAAUCCAUAGGUUAAUGAGGCGAACCGGGGGAACUGAAACAUCUAAGUACCCCGAGGAAAAGAAAUCAACCGAGAUUCCCCCAGUAGCGGCGAGCGAACGGGGAGCAGCCCAGAGCCUGAAUCAGUGUGUGUGUUAGUGGAAGCGUCUGGAAAGGCGCGCGAUACAGGGUGACAGCCCCGUACACAAAAAUGCACAUGCUGUGAGCUCGAUGAGUAGGGCGGGACACGUGGUAUCCUGUCUGAAUAUGGGGGGACCAUCCUCCAAGGCUAAAUACUCCUGACUGACCGAUAGUGAACCAGUACCGUGAGGGAAAGGCGAAAAGAACCCCGGCGAGGGGAGUGAAAAAGAACCUGAAACCGUGUACGUACAAGCAGUGGGAGCACGCUUAGGCGUGUGACUGCGUACCUUUUGUAUAAUGGGUCAGCGACUUAUAUUCUGUAGCAAGGUUAACCGAAUAGGGGAGCCGAAGGGAAACCGAGUCUUAACUGGGCGUUAAGUUGCAGGGUAUAGACCCGAAACCCGGUGAUCUAGCCAUGGGCAGGUUGAAGGUUGGGUAACACUAACUGGAGGACCGAACCGACUAAUGUUGAAAAAUUAGCGGAUGACUUGUGGCUGGGGGUGAAAGGCCAAUCAAACCGGGAGAUAGCUGGUUCUCCCCGAAAGCUAUUUAGGUAGCGCCUCGUGAAUUCAUCUCCGGGGGUAGAGCACUGUUUCGGCAAGGGGGUCAUCCCGACUUACCAACCCGAUGCAAACUGCGAAUACCGGAGAAUGUUAUCACGGGAGACACACGGCGGGUGCUAACGUCCGUCGUGAAGAGGGAAACAACCCAGACCGCCAGCUAAGGUCCCAAAGUCAUGGUUAAGUGGGAAACGAUGUGGGAAGGCCCAGACAGCCAGGAUGUUGGCUUAGAAGCAGCCAUCAUUUAAAGAAAGCGUAAUAGCUCACUGGUCGAGUCGGCCUGCGCGGAAGAUGUAACGGGGCUAAACCAUGCACCGAAGCUGCGGCAGCGACGCUUAUGCGUUGUUGGGUAGGGGAGCGUUCUGUAAGCCUGCGAAGGUGUGCUGUGAGGCAUGCUGGAGGUAUCAGAAGUGCGAAUGCUGACAUAAGUAACGAUAAAGCGGGUGAAAAGCCCGCUCGCCGGAAGACCAAGGGUUCCUGUCCAACGUUAAUCGGGGCAGGGUGAGUCGACCCCUAAGGCGAGGCCGAAAGGCGUAGUCGAUGGGAAACAGGUUAAUAUUCCUGUACUUGGUGUUACUGCGAAGGGGGGACGGAGAAGGCUAUGUUGGCCGGGCGACGGUUGUCCCGGUUUAAGCGUGUAGGCUGGUUUUCCAGGCAAAUCCGGAAAAUCAAGGCUGAGGCGUGAUGACGAGGCACUACGGUGCUGAAGCAACAAAUGCCCUGCUUCCAGGAAAAGCCUCUAAGCAUCAGGUAACAUCAAAUCGUACCCCAAACCGACACAGGUGGUCAGGUAGAGAAUACCAAGGCGCUUGAGAGAACUCGGGUGAAGGAACUAGGCAAAAUGGUGCCGUAACUUCGGGAGAAGGCACGCUGAUAUGUAGGUGAAGCGACUUGCUCGUGGAGCUGAAAUCAGUCGAAGAUACCAGCUGGCUGCAACUGUUUAUUAAAAACACAGCACUGUGCAAACACGAAAGUGGACGUAUACGGUGUGACGCCUGCCCGGUGCCGGAAGGUUAAUUGAUGGGGUUAGCGCAAGCGAAGCUCUUGAUCGAAGCCCCGGUAAACGGCGGCCGUAACUAUAACGGUCCUAAGGUAGCGAAAUUCCUUGUCGGGUAAGUUCCGACCUGCACGAAUGGCGUAAUGAUGGCCAGGCUGUCUCCACCCGAGACUCAGUGAAAUUGAACUCGCUGUGAAGAUGCAGUGUACCCGCGGCAAGACGGAAAGACCCCGUGAACCUUUACUAUAGCUUGACACUGAACAUUGAGCCUUGAUGUGUAGGAUAGGUGGGAGGCUUAGAAGUGUGGACGCCAGUCUGCAUGGAGCCGACCUUGAAAUACCACCCUUUAAUGUUUGAUGUUCUAACGUUGACCCGUAAUCCGGGUUGCGGACAGUGUCUGGUGGGUAGUUUGACUGGGGCGGUCUCCUCCUAAAGAGUAACGGAGGAGCACGAAGGUUGGCUAAUCCUGGUCGGACAUCAGGAGGUUAGUGCAAUGGCAUAAGCCAGCUUGACUGCGAGCGUGACGGCGCGAGCAGGUGCGAAAGCAGGUCAUAGUGAUCCGGUGGUUCUGAAUGGAAGGGCCAUCGCUCAACGGAUAAAAGGUACUCCGGGGAUAACAGGCUGAUACCGCCCAAGAGUUCAUAUCGACGGCGGUGUUUGGCACCUCGAUGUCGGCUCAUCACAUCCUGGGGCUGAAGUAGGUCCCAAGGGUAUGGCUGUUCGCCAUUUAAAGUGGUACGCGAGCUGGGUUUAGAACGUCGUGAGACAGUUCGGUCCCUAUCUGCCGUGGGCGCUGGAGAACUGAGGGGGGCUGCUCCUAGUACGAGAGGACCGGAGUGGACGCAUCACUGGUGUUCGGGUUGUCAUGCCAAUGGCACUGCCCGGUAGCUAAAUGCGGAAGAGAUAAGUGCUGAAAGCAUCUAAGCACGAAACUUGCCCCGAGAUGAGUUCUCCCUGACUCCUUGAGAGUCCUGAAGGAACGUUGAAGACGACGACGUUGAUAGGCCGGGUGUGUAAGCGCAGCGAUGCGUUGAGCUAACCGGUACUAAUGAACCGUGAGGCUUAACCUU